rnacentral:rRNA from 1 species
UACGGAGGGUGCAAGCGUUAUCCGGACUUACUGGGUUUAAAGGGUGCGUAGGUGGGUAGAUAAGUCAGCGGUGAAAUCUCCAGGCUUAACUUGGAAACUGCCAUUGAUACUAUCUGUCUUGAAUAUCCUGGAGGUGAGCGGAAUAUGUCAUGUAGCGGUGAAAUGCUUAGAUAUGACAUAGAACACCUAUUGCGAAGGCAGCUCACUACGGGAUUAUUGACACUGAGGCACGAAAGCGUGGGGAUCAAACAGG